rnacentral:lncRNA from 1 species
ACUCAGGAACCUCAGCACCCGUGGCAGUCAAGGGGCCGGCAGGACCGUGGUGCUGUUAUGCUCUGCAGACGAGCAGGAAAGUGUGUGAAACCUGCCGGGAGCACCCGAGAAACAUGGGAGGUUGUUUUUGCUGAGGCGACUUGACAGGAGGAAGUGGAAGAGGAUUGGAGCUACUCUUCCCAGGGUCUGAUGAUUCUCCGCCCACACGGUCAGGAACGCAGGCACGUAUCAACCUCCAGGUGAUGUUCCCUGUUAUCCCUCAGCACUGAUGAGGGAGGAAUGACUUCGUCCGUUCGUUAUUCAAGCGCUGUAAAAGUUUGACCCCGCACCGGAAGAGCAGCAACAAGACACCAGCAGCAAAGACGGUCACGUGGAAGGCUCAUCACGGGUCCAUGUUCUCUGUGCACAUCCACCUCAGCCUCCCUGGAUUCGCCUUUUAAACAACUGUGGACUCCCCUGGGAGGGAUCAUCACGUUGUGGAGAGCUGUGCAGGGCCUGGAGUCAGACAGCCGGGGUGGAGCCCUGUCCACACCCUCACAUCUGUGUGGCCUUAUAAAGUCACUUCAUCUCUCUUAGCUUCAGUCUCCUCAUCUCUGAACUUGGAACCGUGAAAGCACACACCACCCAGAG